GCAGCCCCGGGUCAAGCCCCCAGGUCCGCCCGGAGGAGGCGGCGUCGGCGGACGGGGCGGCGGCAGCCGGGACAGCGGCACCUGUACCCCUCGGAUGGCGGACGCAGUGGAGCUGAAGAAGCUCCUCGCGGGGGUUGUUAUUCUUAUUCAUACUCCACUUAUCCUACUUUUUGGCCAGUAGAAGCGUCUUCACAUUGGUUCCUGGAUCUUUUUAAUGAUAAAAUCUGAAAACUGGAAUGCUGCUAAAUUUUAAUUCUCUGGGAAUACUGGUGAUAAAAAGAGAGACUAUCAAUAUGUGUUCCACAAGUCAGAAAAGGCACCUGAUGGAACUGCACUCUAUGUCACCUUGAGGUUGGGCAUGGAAGUGUGACAUGCUUUGGCCAAUGAAUUGUGAAGGGAAGCAGAGUGGGCCAGUUCCAGAUGGAAGCCUUUAGAAGAGAGUGCUGAAUCCCCCUUGACAUGACACAAUAUCGUGCACCCAAGUGAAGUUAGCAAGGAACAGAGCUCACUAUUGACCUGAGACGGAUAUGUCACAGGAGCGAGGAACAUAAAACGAGAAAAAGAACAAAACCCAAACUUUUUGUUGCUGAAAGCUACCGAGAUUUUUAAGGAUUUUUGUUACUGCAACAUAUUUUAGUCCAUCUUGACUAAUACCUAAAGUAUGUUCACAUGUGAGAAUUACAUAAUGGUAUUUCUGUAUAUAAUUUAUUCUCAUCACUAGUUAUUAUUUAAUUUGUGGAAAUAUCAAAGUUGUGAACAGUAAUACAUUGUGAUGAUCAUACUGGUUCUGCCUAUAUCUUUAGCAGGAAUGCCUAGGGAAGGAAAUUUAGACCAUCAAUAUCAAAAUCAUGAAUUUUGGUGAAAGAAGGGGAGUAGCUGAGAGAGCAUGAGGAACAAGAUGAGAAGUGCAUUUGGUUUGGAAGAGAUAUACAUCUGAAAAGGGUCUGUGUCUAGGGCCCCACUGACUCAUGUUGCUCACACUUUUAUCUACCUUUUUCAGAAGAUAGGAAGAAGGAAUAACUAUAUCAAUAUGUAAUCCAAUAAAUCUCACUAUUUUCAGAGCAGAAGACACUUUAUUUAUUGAGUGCCAACUGCACAGCUUUAAUUAGUGCUGUGUGGAUCUAAAAAGGAGGACUGGACAAGGAUGUCUGCCCUCUGGAUUCUUCUUUCUCCGUUUGGUCUUUGGAUCACUAUUUUCAGAACUCAUUGAGUCAGGUUCAAAAUUUACUCAAAUUUGUCUGCCCAGCAUUUUCAUGUAAAAAAUAUUUUUUUGAAGAUAUUAAUUGGCUCAAGUGGACUAAAACA